ACAUGUGGACAAAACUUCUUGUCAAACCCUCAUCACAUCUCAUAAACUAAGCAGGGCAGGGCCUGGUUAGUACUUGGAUUGGAAACCACUGGGGAUACGAGGUACCACAGUU
rnacentral:rRNA from 1 species